AUGUGUCCCACCCCUCACCCCCACCUGUGGGCAUCCUGUUUGGAUGGGGGGCUCCUUGUGAACCUAUUGAACUUUCAGAGGGUAGCCUUUUGUUUGCACCUCUGCCCUCUGGCCUUAGGAUCAUUACUCCAAGUCCCCUACCCCUUUCCUGGGGGUGGCACCUGGACUUCAUUGUGUGCAGGUGCUCCUGCUCUUUACCAAGAUGCUGGCUUGUUGCUGUCUGUGCUUCCACCCACCAGGAGAGUGUUUCAGCUGAUUCCUGUCUUAGCUUUACUGCAUCCAGGCCAAGGAACAGAGACUCAGAAGUUAAUCCUGCUUCAAAAUGAAUUUCUACAUCAACCUACUGAUAACUAACCUGACCAGUCUGAAUGACUCUGCAGCAGAGGUGAGCUGAUAGUAAUCAAAUAACUGCCUCAUCACAUUACCACAGUCCUUAUUUAUGUUCUCUGUACCACUAGACUAUAAAUACCUUGAAGGCAGAGUGUAUCUUUUACCUGUAGAUCCUCAGUAACAUCACAGUAUAACAUAAUUGAUUGUUUCAUGGGCUAACUCUAGAUUUUGGGUUGGAAUGAGAGAAAAUGUAAACUAACCUGGUAUUUAUUGGGCAUCUGUUCAGAAGUUAAAUUAACUUGUUGUAAGUCAUUUGCUUUUGAUUUUCACUGUAAUCCUGUGUAUAUGUCCUUGUAGAGAUAUUUCUGAGCCAAGUCAUUAUAAGUAAUUUUAAUAGUGGUAGGAGCUACUUGAUUUAUUAUUUGCCAUAUACUGUGAAAAAUUUUUGGCAAAUAUCCUGUGAUUAAAUACAGUACUCUUGUGAAAUUACUCCAGAUUACUACUUGGAGAGAUUACUCUUCAUUUUAUAGAUAAGGAUACUAAGGCCCAAUAAGCUUUCUAAAGGCGAGGAUUUAAGCCUGGGUCUGCCUGAGGCUAAAGCUGUGUUCUUAAUCAUUUUGAUCUAUACCCACCAUAUGCUCAGACUUUAAAAUUUGACUUGAGAAUGGACUAAAUCUUUUAGUAUUAUAUUUAAUAGUGACAUGAAUAAUUUUCAUCAUAAAUUGUUGACAUCUACAUUUAAGACAAUAUAUAAUGAUUCCUAAUCACUGGACACCAGAGUGAAUUUGGCAGAGUGGAGUUUGUAC
rnacentral:lncRNA from 1 species